UUUGUCCUACGGGGGGCAGCAGUGAGGAAUAUUGGUCAAUGGCCGGAAGGCUGAACCAGCCAAGCCGCGUGAAGGACGAAGGUGCCAAGCAUUGUAAACUUCUUUUGUCAAGGGACAAAAUCAGGCUCGAGAGCCUGACCGAGGGUACUUGAAGAAAAAGCAUCGGCUAACUCCGUGCCAGCAGCCGCGGUAAUACGGAGGAUGCGAGCGUUAUCCGGAUUUAUUGGGUUUAAAGGGUGCGUAGGCGGUCCGUUAAGUCAGCGGUACAAUUGCGGGGCUCAAC
rnacentral:rRNA from 1 species